rnacentral:lncRNA from 1 species
AAACUUCGAAUGUGCUAAUUUGUUCAUUUUGCUUACUGCCUGUUGUUUUUCCUCUAGAAUGUAAGUCCCAAAUGAAUAGGAACUGCACUGGUGUUUUUUUUUUUUUUUUUUUUUCUUUGUCUUUCUAGUGUCUGGGAGGACAAUGCAGAGCAAAGAGCAGUUCCUCAUAAAUAUUUGUUAAAUGAACACAAGAAGAAGUGAAUUUUAUUUAUUUAUUUAAGAUAAAUUUAUGUUUCUCUGUCCCAUCAAACUUUAAUGAGUUAUUUGGUCACUGACUUUAAACAUUAUCAGAAAGUUCAGUUUUCUUGAGUCUUCAAAAUAUUUUUUAACAAUUCAAGCAUAAAACAUAAAAUGCAUGAUUAAUGACUCUCUCUUAAUAGAUGAAAUAAGAGAUUCUUUGACUUAUUUAUGAACAAAUGAACAAAUUGGAACAAAUAAGAGCUUUAAAGUUAAUUACUGAGAUAACUGACAAAGGGUCAUUUUACAAGCUCUAGCCUGAAGCUGGGUCUAACUGCCAUCUCUGUACAGUUCAUCCUCCUGCAAUGUAACAGACAAUCUGCCUGUCAUCACAGAGUAGGUGGCCAGGCAGGACUGUGGGUGUGGAUAUGGGGACUAUGUCAGUUGUUAACCAGGGCCCACACUGCAGUUACCAGGAGCUAGUUGGUAUUAAGUUGCAAUUCCACUGGACAGGAACCAGAGAGUUUAUUUCACCCUGAAAGCAAAAGCCAUCUCCUUUCUACACAGACAAAUCCCCUUAGGGUAGGUGGGAUUUGUUCUGUUAAUUCAUCUACCAUGUAAAAAACAAUGGGCUUGAUGCUGGAGAUAGUGUUCAACAAGACAGACAGAGGCCCUGCAGCCAUGGACAGGACUUUCUCGAUCAUAAUUUUCAAUGUGUUUAUUCUGUUUAUAAAUCCUUGUCAGGAGAAUUAAAAUACCCAUUUCUGCUUCUUUUAGGUCCUAUGGUCUUUUAAAUUUCCAAAAAGUCUUAAUUUUUAUAUUCUGUUAAAUAUUAAUAUUGAGUGGAACAGCAGAAUAGAAAAUAUACUCAAGUGGAUAGAAGAGGGCUUUUUCAUGCGUCUUUACCAUCAAUUAGCUAGUUCACCUUUCACUCACUGAAGUUCAUCCCUGGUUGAACCUUAGAACCAUACAGAGAACAUAAAAAAAUAAAGCUUUAAAAACCAAAAAUUAAAACAACCUCUCACACACAGUGUUCAGAUCCAUCCAACCUCUGAUCAAUAAGAGAAUCUCCAAAAGUAAGGGCCUGGACUUCUAUGUAAGCAAAUCCAUUUUUGUGCUUUCUAAAUUAUAAGAUUUGACAAAUUCCCCUCUAAGCUGAUUUCCCUUUUUUAAAAUUAACUGAUUUUGUCUGAAUUUACAGCCAAGCCAUUGAGCAUAUUGUCAGGAAGUUUAGAAAACUGUAGCAUAGAAUUUUGAUGAAGGGGCACCAUUAAGUGAGCAUAUUCACUUGACUUUUUUCCUUAAUAUUUCUUUUUACUUCCUACUUCUCCUCUUUUCAAGAGCAUCUUUUUCUUUCAAGGACUGUGAGUUGAGACUAUGCAGGAAAAUCUGAAAGUGAUAGGAUUAGGUUGAAAGCUUGACUGGCAUGGCUGUCCUUGGUCAGGACAAGAGAUGCUUCCUCAUCCAAACUAGAAAUAGGGACAGUUCUGUGGGGAACAAGUAAGUUGGUGGUUUUCUUGAUUUUUCUCAGUAAAGCAAGAAACAAGGAAAUUUGCUUAGAGUCGAGGAAGAUUAUGGCUUUAUAAGAAUUGAAGUUUUGUAAUCAGAAGGGAGCAUCAGUAUUACUGUAGCUCAUCAAAAUGAAAACAAAGGGAAAGAGCUAUAAUGCUGACGGUCGAAGUUUGUAGAAUACAAAUUGAAAUGGUUCAUAUUAUAAAGUUAACUGAUACCAAUAAAAAGUAUAUUCUUAUAAUUUUAGAGGUAAAAAGUUUAAUUGUAGACUUGAGUUGUUGGAGUUUUGCUUAACAGAUGUGGCUGAAGAAAGGAGCUACAAAAGGAAUGAAAGAUGUUGGUGCAAGUUUAAUAUCUACAACAAACAGAAGAGAGUUCAAGAAAGAGCUGUUCACUUUCUUAGCACUAUUUCUCUCUUAGCAAUAUAUCCUUGCUUCUUUAACACACACACACACCACACACACACACACACACAUACACAUACACAAAUAUUCAUAUGCACAUAAUCUGAUGCUAAGACAGUUUCAAGAACACAUCUUCCAAAGCAUAUGCUAAAGGAGGUAAAUAUGUAAAAACAUGGAACAGACAAAAUUGAUUUUUAAGCCUGUUGAUCACUGCUGGUGUUUGCUUAUAUUUAAAUCACCUGUCAUGUAAAUCAGAAAUAGAAGUGUAUAAAGUCUUACAUUCAAUCCUUACACUUAUUUUAAUGAAAAAUACAAAUUUGGAAAUAAUAGAUCCUUUUGGGUGGUCUUGUUUCAUGAUUAAUCCAUCAUCCCAUCACUGUAACAUAACCCUUAAUGUAAUUUGUCUAGUUCCUUUAUUAUGUGCAAUUCUUUUAUGUUGAACAUGAAAAAAUAUAUGCCAGGAACAGGAACAUAGUUUGGCAUGGAUGAGGAGUACUGGGGAUUGAACUCGGGGGCACUUGAUCACUGAGCCACAUCCUCAGCUCUAUUUUACAUUUUAUUAGAGACAGGGUCUCACUGAGUUGCUUAUUGCCUCGAUUUUGCUAAUGCUGGCUUAGAACUUUUGAUCCUCCUGCCACAGCCUCCUGAGCUGCUGGGAUUACAGGCAUGUACCACUGCACCUGGCUAGGAACAUAUUUUUAAGAGGUCUUUUUUAUUGUUACUUGUACAGCAUCUUAACAAUAAUUGAAACUUUAAAAUAAUCCUAUCAAACCAAGACUUUACCAUUUUGUGCAUAUACAAAAAAGGUACAAAUUUUUACAUUUUAAUUAUAUAAAACAAAGUGUCUUGCAUGUGAUAGUUUUAAAUACACACACACACACACACAUAUAUAUAUAUAUAUAGUUGGCUUAAGUAACCUAAAUACAAAAAUAUUAAUAAAAGAAGUUGUAAUUUUGAAAUUCUCAUGUAACAACCCAAAAAGCUUUAAAAGACAUAUUUCUCAGCUUUAUCCACAAUUUAUUUUUCACUUAACCUUCCUGAGUUCAUAAUUCCUAUGCUUACAUGUAUGUGUACAGGCUUCAUUCAAAUAAAAAAAGCAAAUGUAGCAAUAACAAAAUGUACACCUUGAAAAGUCAUUCAAGAGGCGUAGUAGGUUUUUUCCUUUCCUUCUUUUUUCUUUUGAUGCAUUGAAUUUCAGAUAUAUUGUGAUACAUGAUACUGAAAUUUUCCAAGUUAAAGCCCA